rnacentral:rRNA from 1 species
GAGUUUGAUCCUGGCUCAGAACGAACGCUGGCGGCAUGCCUAACACAUGCAAGUCGAACGGGAUCCAUCCUUCGGGAUGGUGAGAGUGGCGGACGGGUGAGUAACGCGUGGGAACCUGCCCAGUGGUGGGGGAUAACUGCGGGAAACUGCAGCUAAUACCGCAUGAGCCCGAAAGGGGAAAGAUUGAUCGCCAUUGGAGGGGCCCGCGUUCGAUUAGGUAGUUGGUGGGGUAAUGGCCUACCAAGCCUGCGAUCGAUAGCUGGUCUGAGAGGAUGAUCAGCCACACUGGGACUGAGAUACGGCCCAGACUCCUACGGGAGGCAGCAGUGGGGAAUAUUGGACAAUGGGGGCAACCCUGAUCCAGCAAUGCCGCGUGAGUGAUGAAGGCCUUCGGUUG